UCGUCAGCUCGUGUCGUGAGAUGUUGGGUUAAGUCCCGCAACGAGCGCAACCCUUGAUUUUAGUUGCCAGCAUUUAGUUGGGCACUCUAAAGUGACUGCCGGUGCAAGCCGGAGGAAGGUGGGGAUGACGUCAAAUCAUCAUGCCCCUUAUGACCUGGGCUACACACGUGCUACAAUGGAUAGUACAAAGGGUCGCGAAGCCGCGAGGUGGAGCUAAUCCCAUAAAACUAUUCUCAGUUCGGAUUGUAGGCUGCAACUCGCCUACAUGAAGCCGGAAUCGCUAGUAAUCGUGGAUCAGCAUGCCACGGUGAAUACGUUCCCGGGCCUUGUACACACCGCCCGUCACACCACGAGAGUUUGUAACACCCGAAGUCGGUAGGGUAACCUUUAUGGAGCCAGCCGCCGAAGGUGGGACAGAUAAUUGGGGUGAAGUCGUAACAAGGUAGCCGUAUCGGAAGGUGCGGCUGGAUCACCUCCUUUCUAAGGAA
rnacentral:rRNA from 1 species